rnacentral:misc_RNA from 1 species
GAAAUGCGAUAAGUAAUGUGAAUUGCAGAAUUCAGUGAAUCAUCGAAUCUUUGAACGCACCUUGCGCUCCUUGGUAUUCCUUGGAGCAUGCCUGUUUGAGUAUCAUGAAAUCUUCAAAGUAAAUCUUUUGUUAACUCAAUUGGUUUCUACUUUGGUAUUGGAGGUCUUUGCAGCUUCACACCUGCUCCUCUUUGUUCAUUAGCUGGAUCUCAGUGUUAUGCUCGGUUCCACUCGGCGUGAUAAGUUAUCUAUCGCUGAGGACACUGUAAAAGGUGGCCAAGGUAAAUGCAGAUGAACCGCUUCUAAUAGUCCAUUGACUUGGACAAUACUUUUAUGAUCUGAUCUCAAAUCAGGUAGGACUACCCGCUGAACUUAAGC